GUGAGGAAUAUUGGUCAAUGGGCGCAAGCCUGAACCAGCCAUCCCGCGUGAAGGAAGAAGGCGCUAUGCGUCGUAAACUUCUUUUCCAGGGGGUGAAUUGCCCCGACGUGUCGGGGUUUGACGGUACCCUGGGAAUAAGCAUCGGCUAACUCCGUGCCAGCAGCCGCGGUAAUACGGAGGAUGCAAGCGUUAUCCGGAUUUAUUGGGUUUAAAGGGUGCGUAGGCGGAUCAAUAAGUCAGUGGUGAAAACCUGCAGCUUAACUGUAGAUGUGCCGUUGAUACUGUUGGUCUUGAGUAUGGUCAAGGUAGGCGGAAUGUGUAAUGUAGCGGUGAAAUGCUUAGAUAUUACACAGAACACCGAUUGCGAAGGCAGCUUGCUGGGCCAUUACUGACGCUGAUGCACGAAAGCGUGGGGAUCGAACAGGAUUAGAUACCCCAGUAGUCC
rnacentral:rRNA from 1 species